CACGUAGGGGGCGAGCGUUGUCCGGAAUCAUUGGGCGUAAAGAGCGUGUAGGCGGCCCGAUAAGUCCGCUGUGAAAGUCCAGGGCUCAACCCUGGGAUGCCGGUGGAUACUGUCGGGCUCGAGUCCGGAAGAGGAGUGUGGAAUUCCUGGUGUAGCGGUGAAAUGCGCAGAUAUCAGGAGGAACACCUGAGGCGAAGGCGGGUUACUGGGCUGAUACUGACGCUGAGGCGCGAAAGCCAGGGGAGCAAACGGG
rnacentral:rRNA from 1 species